CCUACGGGUGGCAGCAGUGGGGGAUAUUGCACAAUGGGGGAAACCCUGAUGCAGCGACGCCGCGUGAGCGAUGAAGGAUUUCGGGAUGUAAAGCGCUAUCAGCAGGGAAGAAAAUGACGGUAACUGACUAAUAAGCCUCGGCUAACUACGUGCCAGCAGCCGCGGUGAUACGUAGGGUGCAAGCGUUAUCCGGAUUUACUGGGUGUAAAGGGGGCGGAGACGGCAAUGCAAGUCUGAAGUGAAAGGCAAGAGGACAACCCUUGGACUGCUUUGGAACCUGUGCUGCUGGGGAGUCGGAGAGGCAAGUGGAAUUCCUAGUGUAGCGGUGAAAUGCGUAGAUAUUAGGAGGAACACCAGUGGCGAAGGCAGCUUGCUGGACGAUGUCGGACGUUGAGGCUCGAAAGCGUGGGGAGCAAACAGGAUUAGAUACCCGGGUAGUC
rnacentral:rRNA from 1 species